GCUGCACUGGCUGGGGCGGGGACGCGCCUCGGACGCGGAAAGGGGCGCGCGCGACCAGGCGCGCUCCCCGGGCGACGUGGGGCUGCGUGGGGGCGGGUUCCGGGGAGGGCUGCAGGACAUAGGUGCUGGAGUCCCUAAGCUCCCGGGGUGCCCGCGCCCCUGGGCUCCCCGACUGACCACAGCCCCGGACCACGGCCCUUCCCCAACUGGACAUACAUACGCGACUGCGACAAAGCCCGAUCUCCCGUGAGAGGGCCGACCCCACGCACUCGAUGAGGGUGGGGAUGGUACGGAUUCUCCAGACUCGAGGACUUUCUUUAUACCAAAUAACUGUCAGGAACAGAAGGUGCGCGAUCUUAUUUGACUGGCGCCAGAGUGGUGAUUUCUGCCUUGCGUGUUUUGAUUGGAUGAUUCCACACUUGGUUUUCAGGAGCCAAGGUCACUCCCCAGGUUGGCAUUCUAUGUCGGAGAGGAUAAGGCUUCCCUGUUGCUUGGUGAUGCGGACCGAGUAAAAGCCCUUGGAGAACGUGGAAGCCGCAGCUGCGCACCCAUCGGCUCUCUACAGUGCAAGAGGUUUCACCAUGUAACUCCAUCUGGAAUGCAAGUUAGACUCGAUACUUUAUCCAGUUUCUAAUCGUUUAUCUUUCUCUUACGAAACUGCGUUGGAAGACUUUUCCCUCUGCUCUCUCCAGGAUACAAAUAUCAUCUCAAACAGAACACCCACUGCGAGGCAUUUGCAGUUUCCAGAGCGUCAUGGUUGCCCUCUUGAGAUUCUUAGAGCACUCACUAUGCCGCCCUCUCAAGAAGCAAAACAAACUUCCAACUAAGAUAGAGCAGUCCUAGCUCUCUGAGUUCCCAAUGUGCUAGAGACCAACUAGGAAUACAUUCACAGGUGAAUUAGCAUAAAUACUUGCUGGGCAGUGGUGGCACCAGCGCAUGUGUUUGGAGGCAGAGG